UGGAUAGAUGCUAACCAACCAAGGGCCUC
rnacentral:piRNA from 1 species